rnacentral:lncRNA from 1 species
CGUGCUUUUCAAAUGGCAUGAGACUGCAGCUACCGCGGGAAAGCAAAAAUAACGCAAAAGAUGAAGGAAUGAAAAUGGAUAUAAUGAAUGAGAACAAACAUGUAGUGACUUGCCAGUAAUAAUAUGCGCGUAUGCUCAAAUUGGCUAGAUGCUCUUCAACGUGAAACGUUAUCUUCAGAGCAUAUUGAUUAUUAUAAAUAUGUAUGUGAAUUAGAACGUAUUAUUAACCGUUUAUUACUCAAUGAUCGACACGCGAGGAUAGAUUGUAAUAGUUCAUAAUUUAUCUAUCUUACUCCACAUAAUAACCGCCGUUUUCUUUUCAUCCAUUAAUUGAUUAUUUAUCCAAUAACAUCCACUUUAUUCUAUUUUACUUUUAUAGUCUCACAAUCAAUCUUAUAUUAUCUCUGAAUGUCACUAUAAUUAAUUAAGAUAUUUAUAUUAAUAGCUAACACUAUUUUUGUAUAUUUUAUACUAUUUUCAUAGCGCAUAGUCUAGCGUAUUGCGGUAAGUGGACCGCAAAAUUGGAAACAUGCUUGCUACGGCAUUUUCCUAUCUUGCGCUGGAGAUUCUAUUGUCACAAUCGUAGUCACAAAGCCGUCACCGUCAGACCUAUUACAGCAGCGCGAUAACGUGUUAUUAUCACCGCAUUAUUUACACCAGACAUGCGCAGCAAGUGCGUUCCUUCCAAGUUUCGACGACAUCACGAGCGACUACACCAUCACGACGAUCGGCGUGCGGACGGAAUCUGUUCUGGCGUUGAUAAAAUAUCAAUCAAUGACACCUGAAUUACAUCUUCGCGCGGUAGGCAAAUGACCGCAUACACAAACAUUUCACAUGUAUAAGUUAAUCUUGGAGAUACGUGUUGGAAAGCUGACCAAUUUUCCCGGUAUUCAAAAUAUAAUAGCGCAGUCGAUUACGUAUCCUCAUUAUUAUCCCCGUAGCCAUAAAACGUUCUAAUCUCCACCAUGCACGAGAAAGGAGAUAGUUGGACGCUGUUAAGCACAAUGCAAUUAUAAUACCUUACGUUCGCUAAACGCAUUCGCGUUGCCUCGCGCUCGCGCGUGCUUGCGUCCAUACAGAAAAUCAAAUUACACGGGAGCGCGCACGCAGGGAUGCGUGACUCGUAAAUCACGCUUCGACGUGGGAGAAGAGGCGCUUCGGAAAAGUAGGAGACUUUCAAAAAGGCUGAUCAACUCGUGCUUGGACCUUGUCAUGUCGCCAGGCUGGAUAACGUCGCCACGACGUUGGAUCCCUGUUUGUUAUGUAAUUCCGCCAUGGGUGCGUGUGCGUAUGGCCACGAUGGCGUGGGAUUACGUCGCGUAAGAUCGGUACGAGGAUAAACCAUCCUGGUUCCUUCAUAAAUUAUAAUCCCCAAGCCCGAAGCGUGAGGGAGUGUACGCGAGGGAGAAAGAGGAAACCAGCCAGAAGCAUGGCGCCGUUUUAUAUUCCAUGGGAUGUGUAUGGCGUAUAAUACGAUGGAAUCGUUCUAGGUGUGUCAGAGGAAAAAGGAUUGUUUCGCGAUACGAACAUCCGGUUUCGCAAAACCUUCCGAAAAUAUUAUAAGCCGCCAGGCGGUGUUCUCGUUAUUGUUUAUUUAUUUCUUCUUCGAUUUAUUAAUUUAUUUCUUCUUCGCGAACAAGAGUUAUCAUUAGUCCCAUGCAACAGGUAGCAAUGAGCAAGAAACGCCAUUAAUUGGUCACGUGCUGUCUUCGAUAACGUUUUUCGCCGGGUGACUUUAUCGCACUGCGCAACACGUGCAAAGUAUAACAGAUAGUGUCUCUGCAAUGUAAUGCGAUAUGGGAGAAUGUAAUGGUACGUGCAAUUUACCAUGCACAGAUCACUCCUAUACCAGUGUACCUUGUACGCGCAAAAAUAACUGCUCGCAUUAAAUUUCGGGUAGUUACUUCUCGCCGAUUGAAUCACAAUUCGCUGAAGAGCAAAGAGAGACUCGUGACGCGAAGAGUUUUUGCGACUUUGUACGCGAUUUUUAAUCUCAUUGAUAGCCAAACUAAACGUAGCCACGCUAAAAAGGAACGCGUUUACCAUUAUUAUGUAAGAGGCGCGUGUCAAGUGACGACACCAGUUUGUCAGCCGCAGUUUUAUCUUUUACUGCAUCGUCUACAAUUGGUAGCCUUCGUAUCGCCCUACUUUAGGUGCGAGCGAGCUCAUACACAUACACACAUACGCGCCAUUUGCCGUAAUUGUGGACUUUUAAAGGCGCGUGUGUUUGUGUCCUGCUUUCUCAAAAUUUUAUCGCAGACUCAUCGUGUGCGUAUCGCGCUGCGUCGUUCCUCCUUGCUAUUUCAUUACUAUUGUGUAAUUAGCGCUGUCAUAAAAAUUUCAGACACGAUUGAUGAGAUCUUUCAAUUAGUUAAUUAGCUUUCGCUGUCAAGGCAGAUGCAGCGCAAAUUAUUCCCCGGAUAAUUCAAGGCUGACUAAGUUAAAUAUGAGAUAACGCGAAGAGACAACACGAAAACAAAUCUCUCCCUGCAACUAUUUCAUUUUUUGACCAUUGUGAAAAUUAUCGCAAGAAGGAAUUUACUAUAAUCCCGAUAAAACGGAUCCUGAUAAAACCGUCAUGUUAAUAUCUAAAUUAAACACUAUAAACAUGUACAUUUAUAAUAUCGGACUCAUUGUCAUAUCUCGUAGCUUAAUCUCUAUUCAAAUAGAGAGACGAGAGGGGGAGUAAAAGGGGACCUUGUAAGAGUACGUUGUGGCGAUCGAGAAGUCGGUGAGAAAGAAAAAGAAAAAAAGAACAAAAAACACCGUUCCGCGGAUCGGUCCACGUGAAACUGAAACAAAACGAUCGCCGCUCUCUCCACGUCGGUCGGUCGUUCACGUCGCGCGGAAAACGUCGCGGUUGCGAAAAGCACGGGAUACCCGACGACGCAAGGCACCGACCGAGGCACGUUCCGUGCUCCGGUACGGCGAAGUCGCGGAACCCGUUUAUCGAUAUCUCGCUCUCAUACCGGGCGGAUAAAGAGCCGCUCUUAUGCGGUCCUGCCAUUCUGUGCCCGGAUUCCGCGAGUUUGCCCCGCUUACCUCCUCCUCUUCCUUCUCCUCCUCCUCCACCUCAAUGGAGUACGCGCGUACAAUGCAAUUUUGCACCGGCCGCUUGUACGGUGCAUUACCUUAACGACGCAGUUCCACCACGCUCUUUCUCUUUGCACACACAUCUCGCUGCGGCUUUACAAUGGACUAGAUCGCGCCAAGACGUGACCAAAAGAGAGCUCGGCGCGUAAGCGUGUCCGAGCGACUUUGAGAAUAGAAAAAAGUCGCGGCGUCCUAAUUCGUAUCGUGCUGAAAAUCGGUCGUUAGUCAAAGGAUUCGAAAAAAUUUUCGUCUUUAUUUCGUCUCCUUGAAUCGAUAUAAAUCCAUUUUUUCAAAUCGAUAACUUCGUAGAGGGGAAUUUAUAAUCUGCUGACGCACAUUUUCAGCUUGACACAUUUUGAUGACGUACGUACAUUGUGUAUGUUGCGUAUGCUCAAUCACGUUCUCAAUAUUUUAAACGUAAAAUUUGAGGAAUAUAUUAGCAAAUAGAGACUUCAAGCUGAGAGAAUUGUCGAUUUAAGUCGAAUGUGCUCAGAAUAUCAUCGAACCAGUGCAGACUAGUGCGAACGUGGGUUCGCGUAAAACUGUGUAACAAAAACAUAUCGUGGCACGGCAAGUCUUUAAAGGAUCUCGUCCCGAAAGCGUGUCAAUGUCGGUGUAUUCCACUUUAUCUCAAACAGGAAGGUGUUAUUACCGCUCUAAUCGAAACUUUGCCGCUCCAGUUGAGACGCUCGGAUGGGCGCGCUUCUAUGUGUCGAAUGGAAAGCGAAAAUCUAUCCCAUCAUGUAGGCCCAACCUAGUACGUUUUUUUUGUGAGUUCCACAAUGUCCUCGUUCAUGAAUGAAGAUGGGACAAUAGUGUCUGACUCAUAUGUAUGCGUGUAUACGCGUAUACUUGUGUCUGUACAUGACAUGUGCGUGUGAUCUGAUUACGAGUGUAAUACAUCGUGGUUCAUGAAUCUGCGUCGCUUCACGUUCAUAGUGACCAUUUUGAUGGAAUAAUUUCGUCAUUAUAAAAGAUAUCUCCCUCUUUCGUUUUUGAAGAUUGCAUCGAAAACAAUUAAAAAAUGCAUUAGAAAAACAUUAAUGUGUAAAACAUUAAAAAACGAUUUACACAGAAAUCUUUGUGCUUAGUUUUUGUUAAAAAAAAGCGAAAAUUCAUGAAUUUAAAAUUGUUUGACUUAAUUUACGUAGAAACUAUUUCUGAAUUGUGCAACGCAGUCUGAUUAAAAUGAAGAAAUAAAAGAUUACGGACUCGGGAACUUGUCGAAUCAAGGAUUUCACGUUUUUGUCUAUCUCAUAUCUCCGCAGACAUCUAAGUCCGCAGAGACCGACUGUAAUGCGGUCUCAUUUCCUUUAUCAAUUAUUUACGAGCUCUACUAAUGACUCCAAUUAAUUUGCGCUAUCGAAUAAAAUAGUGUCGCUCAUGUCGUCAACUGACCGGACUUUUUCCGCAUACGCGAUGAGAACGCCUCUUUUUAUCGCGGUCUGUGUCGCGCGUCCAUGGCGCCGAGACGCGCGAUGUAGGCAAUGAGCGUAAUCCACGAAUGGACUAUUAAUCCAUUUCUCCGGCGCGUCGAGAGCUCCGAAACGUUACCGCCAUGCGGAUGGAAGGUGUGGGAAAUCCCGCAGACCGAUUCUCAUACGCGACGUCCCAGAUUCAUAUGCAAUUCGCGUCGUUCCUUUUACUCCUUCCCUUUACCGCCGGCGAAUUUCGCGGAUACAUCCUCUCGUCACCGAUGAUCGCACGCUUUCUCUUCCAGCGCUUUGCAUCUCAUCGAACGGAGGCAGGAUUCGAUUCUUUUUACGACUGUCAACCGCGACUUCUCGCGAAGGAAUUUCGCGGUGAAGGGCUUACGCAACGACCGGAUCGUUCAUAAUUUUGCGAUCUCUCGCGAUCUCUCGCGCUUUGGAUUCAUGAUUAUUAAUCAGCACGCUAUUUAUCUCAUUAUGUGCGAUAUUUGACGCACAAAAAAAGGUCGACCUGUCGGAGAAAUGGAUUAAUAGUUUAUUCAUUGUCAUUACAUUGGAUUACAUUAAUUGUUUACUUCAAGGUGGAACCUGAAUCACUGUUCAAAAAGUGCGAUUUUCGACCAGUGAUUCAAUUUCCACUCCGAAGACCGCGAUGCAGUCACGCGACAUAUAAGGCGCCGAUUUCCUCGGCCUUAACAUCGCGAUUAAAACAAUGUCUCUGCGUUUUUUACGGUCAUAACUAUAAUUGCUGCCUACACAGCCCACGCGUUCAUCGGUUGCAUUUCCACAGAUGGCGAGUUUUAAUGCGUUUAUUGCCACCUUUGUAACACCUCUGCGUGAUUCUCAAGUUUCAUUACCGAUCUUAGUGCUAGAUCGGGCUCUGUUAUCGGGUUUGUUACGCAUGCAUAGCAGGGAUUUUUUUAGAAAGAAUACGUGACUAAAACUAAAAAAUCUCGAUAGUGAAGCGUUGCAGGAGAAGCAGAACGCGACAAUAAUUUCGAGAGGAAUGACACUUUCUGUUUUUCUCUUAAUUAUCAACUUCGUCAUUCUCUAUUAUUGGAUUGAAAUAUUCGUCCCGUUUGUUUGUCAGUGUUUUUAAUAACGAAUAUACGUUACAACCGAAUAUUUUGCCCGUUCUCUUCUCGAGUCUUCGGUUGUCCUUCGCGAAUUCUUGUUACGUUCACGCAUUUCUUUUUUCUCUCUGGCAGAGUCUCCGGGGGACUCGGCGCGUUGGAUGUCACAAAACAUCCGACGGGAUCGAUACGUGCCUCCGCAUGAGGGUAAACAUAGGAUAGCCGUUACGUAUAAUACCGAACACCGUAUACGAUCGGCAGGUAGCCAACCCAAUAUAGCGUUUUACGUUCUCGUGCCCGUUGUGCGCAAUAAACGUACGUAUCGGGUUCCCAUCAUUACACAUAAUAUUCGUCUUCGUUUCGAACAAUCGAUCGAUCUCGUGUCUGCUAAUCAGUCGUUCGCAGAUUCUAAUUGUAUUCCGUUACAAGUCGACUCGUGACGUUUGCAGCGUUGAACGUGGCAUCGCCGCCGAGGAAUCGCAACAUUCAAAAUUGCCAUUACGUCAAACGAGAAGACUUCCUCGUCUUCAAUCGUGUCUCGGCGUAUCAUAAAUUUCUCUAUCCACAACGAGAGAACGUCUUCUGGUUGGAGUUUCACGAUACAGAGGCACGCUGGCGGUGCCUCAGUACGUAUAUACCGGUGCAUCGUCCGGAUCAUGCGGUUCGAUUCUCGCGACACACUGCAUUGCAGCGGCUUCGUGAAAGUAAUUUAUUAUCGCGAGAGCCGGUUAAGCGCCGCGCACGACGACGCAGCGCCGGAAUUGCGUAUCCUGCGUGUGCAUGCGGGAAUCACGCCGAUCACGGGGUGCUUGGCAUUUGAGAGGAGUAAAUACCGCAUCGCGCUACCGGUAGCGAUAGCGAACGAUCAUGAGAAACGAUGAGUACGUAAGUCUGAGACGUAAGUCGAGAGUGGGAGACUUUAUCCUCCUUUCUGACCACUCAUCUGACAUAUUAAUUUUUUUUCAUUCGUGAUACAAAAUUAGCAAAGUGAACAAAGUAACGUUUUCAGAGACGGCAUUCGGUACAUCGUUUACCAAAUUCUAUCCGGUUGUUCUUUCGAAGCAAAUUUCUUGAAUUUAAGAUGGUUGAUUUCAAAAGCGGAUUCGCGCAUUUCAGUUAUGCAAGACGCAGUAAUCUCUCUCUCUGGAUUAGAACUUUUCGAAUUAGAGAAACGCUUUUCUCGCAAAUGUUCAUAGUACGAUAUAGAAAUACACUUAACGUGCGAUACGAUGUGCGGCGCGCGCCGUGCGUGUGCAUGCGUGCCGUACGCACACGCGUACGCGUGCCCACAGUGAUAUCGGACACAACUUGGCCGCAGGAGCCCCGAAGCCGCACUUUCUAAAGACCUUCGCCGGUUUUGCGGACUUGUCUAUCUAUCGCAGCCGGCCGCUGCGAGCACCUCGCGGGCGGUACGCGCGCGUAUCACGCGUACCCGUUGCGUACAAUGCUACCCAUUAACGACGCCCCUGAGAGAUCCGGGCCUCUCUCAACCCGAAGGUAUGGACGCGCGGAUCCAUCUGCGCGUUUUCGCUCGGAAACCGGUAUAAGAGACCGCGCGCGCGCGGUUGAUCGGCUUGCCGCCGCUUUUUAAGCUAAACCGCCCGAGGGUAGGCUGAACAUAUCGGCGACCACGACGGACGGGUGAAAUAUUCCGUAGAUUAAAGCCAAGCGAGCUUUAAUCUGUCUCUAUCCUUUCUUUCUUGUAGCUUAAAAUAUGAAACACAAUCCGACAUUGAUCCUUUGACGUUGAUCCCUACGCCUUUUGCACUUGCGCGUCUCAGUUGCGAGAUUCUCUUGGAAUUCGCGUGAAAUCUUUCGUUCGGUAACGAAUCUGAUGUUUGAUGUUUACGGUGAUGUUUGGAAAGCGAGAGACGAGACUUGAAGAUAUGUCGACGUAUACGCGCGCGACGGUGAUUAAUUGUUUAUAACAGGAAUCUCUCGCGCGGGACUUUCGUUUUCAUCUCAAGGAUCUCUGGGGUGACCGAGGAAGUACGGUCUGGCAAAAGGAACGUCUUCGCGAGUGAUCGGCGACGGUGGCUGCGGUGGCAUAACGAGCCGUUUCGACAUUUCGCAUAAAUCGCUGCGUAGGAAAUGAUUUUCUCCGUCCGAGCGGAGCGCUCAUGAACGCUCGCAGCGUUAAAACCGACGACGUGGCCUUCGAGCGCGUAAGCGCGUAAGAGCGAGUAAGUACGCGAGCAUCGCGUCGAUCGGAGGCGGUUCGAGACGCGCGGAUCUUAUUUGCGACGAUGAUGCUGCUUCGCGAUGCGCGUUAGUGACAUUUACAACUUGCACCGCGAUGUGAAUUACUCGCUGGAGCUUGCACGCGCGGCCGAGUCCGCGUCUGAGCGCGAUCGGAGCGCAGAUUGUCCGCUCUCAUGAUCAUGUCGCGGGUUUAACGGGGACGGUCUCGCAUUUCCGAUGAGUAAUUGCGUGGAGAAUUGCGUAAGAAACGCGAUCUACAUCUGUUUGCAAGGCAUGUCUCUGUAUUAGGAUAUCUAAAUUAGAUCCAGAAAGAGCAGAGGAAAGGGCCGCAUCUACCAGUUUCUCGCAACUUACUGUCAAAAUUGCCGCAGAGAAGUAUGAGACAGUAAAUUUAAUACAAUAAUAGAAAUAAUUAAUAGAAUAAUAGAAAAGAUAAAAAUUCUUCAUACGCUAAGAAUAUAUAUCGUAAAUAUAACAGUUUUACAUAUUAACAGUUUUUCAGAUGCAGGGUAGAAAAAAAAAAGAAACAAGAUGUUGAAAAAAAACUUCUCCAUUUCGGGACAGGUUUUUCUUCGCGAAUCAGAUUGUGUCUACGGCAAAUUGAUUCUCCAAUAAACAAGAUGAUACAUAAUACACAUAUAUACGCGUGCGAAGUCAAAGUUCGAGCUUGUUACACCACAGCUAAUUAUACAGUCGCCGUUUUUAAACUGCCAAAGUCGAAAGUCUUAAUGGUCGAUCCGACAAAAAAGUGUUUAAUAGCGCGCUACUCCAAAAUAUGACAGAAGAAAGUAGCAUUUUUUUAUGCAGACUUGGAGUAAUAAAUUAAAAAUAAACUUGUAGAAGUAUGUUAUUUCUAUCUACGUCUCCAAAAAUUGAAAUCAAACACGCGUAUCCACAACAAUGCUUAUAUUGCGAGCUGAUACUAUCAAAGUAUUCCAAGUAUUCUCCGCUCUUCCGCAUCCGGCGACGUGGUUUCCGUGCCAGCUUUCCAUCGACGAAGCAUUCGUAGGUAAUGAAUAUCGAGUGUCCACAGUCAUUGAGACAGAAUCAGCGAGAACAGAUAAAAAGAGAUACUGCAGCUUCCGCAUUUCUCCUCGUGCACGUAAAUCUUGUCGCGAUUUGCAAACACUCGCGCAUGUGAUACUCUUUCCCUGCCUUUUCGAAGAGAAGAUUUGCAGAGAAACCGACGUUUAAUGCGUACCGCCCGCGCUGUUACCGCCAUUAUUACAAGACAUACUUCCCGUAAAAGUACAUACUCUUUGCAUCUUCCUCUUCGCCAGGCAAAGCAUUUAUUAGCGUCGAGAGUCUCUUAGCCUCGUAGAAAAUAAUGCAUCGUUAAUGCAAUCUAUCAGUAGCUUCAAUUAAUCGUAUUAAUAAGACUAUAACCUCAUUAAUAUAAAAACUAUAAUAAUAAUCUUAUUAAUAUGACAAAAAGACUUCAAAUAAAUAUAAAUUGUUGUGAUAAGUAGGAUAAAUCUGCUAUUUCCUCAAAUUUAUUUUAUCCUGCAAUUCAGUGCUUCUCUUUCUGAAUAUAUAUUAGUCAUACAUUGUCAUAGACAAAUUUCAAUUCUUCGCGAAGACUAAAGAUUUUAUCUGCAAACGAAAGUGAGGCUAAGACUCGGAUUGAUAUUCGUACACAUCGGAAUUUCGUCAGCGUCAAACGUCGUAACAGAUACCGGUAUUCUUGCCACGGCAUUCGACGUGCUAAAUUACUUUCACCGACCGAAACGUGCGUACGUAGCCGCACUUGUGCAAAAAUUUCGGCAAAAACACUCAGUCAUUCGUCACGAAUCGCUACAAAAAUGCAAUUCCAUCGAAACACGAUGGUUUUUCGAAUUUGAGCAAGAUUUUCAUAGUUUAAAAGUAUUAGGCUUUCUCCGGAUAGUCGAAAUUAAACAUACUCGGAUGUCCACAAUAUAAAGAAAUAAUUGUAAUGUCCACGUCUUUUAUACAGUUAAAAUUUAAUGAUUUUACAUCAUUAUCUAUCACAACUUUUGAUUUGAAGAAAAAUCAUAUUUUACGUUAAACCAGUUAUAUGACCGGUCCAAACACGAUCGUAAAUUUAAAUCGAUGAAAGUACGAAUUCGCACGGAAACUUGCGCCAACCCGUUGAACCACUAAUUUGCGUGGAAAAAGUGUAAAAGUAUGUAAAAUCACUUUCAACUCCUUUCCAGGCACGUAAUGACAGAUGCCAGAUUUUUAACUUUAACCCUUAAUCUUACGAAUAAAACGUUGCAAUUUAUCGUAAUUCUUGAGUUCGCUUUACUCUGUUUCAUUUUCUUUCACUCAAUUAGACAAUAUUUCAAAUUGAUCAGGAGAACACCAAAAAAAA